UAGUAACGGGGUAUACCACUAGUGACUGGCCUCUAGCUGGACUUUGUGCCACUGAUCGCGGCGCUCUGGGUCCGGCCAUUCAGCCAUUUUUUGAUCCACGUCACUGUCCACUUACGUAACCCGUACUUUGUCAGCUUGUCUAUGGGGAUGUUAUGGGACACAGUGUCAGAAGCCUUACUAAAGUCAAGGCAAACAACAUCCACUGCUCUCCUCUCAUUCACCAAGCCAGUCAUCUUGCCGUGGAAGGCGGUCAGGGAUUGAGGCGACGCUGCCUGGACUGUAGCUUCCCAGAUCCUCCUUCUUGCCUUUCUUGAAGGUUCUGAGGACAAUCACCACCUUCAGUUGCAGACUGCAAACUAAAGACCCCCAGUUCAUAGGGAGCUGGCUGUCCUGGGGAGACCCGUACCCAUGCAGUUAUUUUCAGCCAGGGUAAAAGCAGCUGUGACAGCAAGAGCUGGAUGAGCAUUUCAUUGCAGCUAAGGAUGGUAAUUUUGGUCUGCAGGGAGCCCUUGAGGCGAGGACAGCAUCCCAGGCAGGCUCCACCAGGCUCAUUGCUGCUUCCUUUGCUUCUUUGGUGAGACAGACGUCUAUUCCCAACGGCCUUUUCUCCUUCUGUUGGCACCUUGCACCACAUGCAAUGCUUUCUUUCAAAAACCUACUUCAAUAAGAACCAGUGAAUCCUAUUCCUGCAUUUGUGAGAAGGCACAAUAAACCUCAUCACCCUGGUGCAACAUCCCCCAGCUGUCUCAAGGAGGAAGAGGAGAAAAAUCUCCUUUGUUGGCUGCUGUGCUUGGCUCCCUGUACAACUUGUAGGUCACUGUGACGGCUUGGAAACCCAGGCUGAGUCUUCUCCCCUGCCCAUGCCUCUCCCAUAUUCUACCAAUCCCGUCUCAAGUUAAGUCUUCCUAGCCCUACAAGAUUUUCUUGAAUGGACUGAAGGCCUCAGGGAUCAGGCUGGCUUUAACUCUCUUUAUUUUGAAAGACUCCUCAACAGCCAGUUUGGAAGUUGAUGGGGGAGGCAGGGAAAUGGUGAGCAUGGGACAUUCAUGGGCCCUUCCACCAAUACUGUAGGUAUAGAGAGAGCCCCAGUAAACUCUGGGGUAAUGGGGUCAUUUUAAUUUCCUGCUGUAAAAAUGGCCCAUCUGCUCCCUGGUAUCCCCUUUACAGAAACAGACAGACCUGCUGACAGCACGGGAAAAUACAAACAGAAAGCAAAUGGAUGUUGGUCUUGGGCUGCUUGGCUGAAUCUAAUGUGAGGCAGAUAGUACACAUAGAAGAGCCCGAUAAUUUUCUAGAUUUGAACCCUUUCAAACUCCUGAGGAAACUGGCAUAGUCUGGAAGACUUCUCAAAAGCUCAUUAGACUGAUAGAGCUUCUCUGGCUCUGGACACCUGGUUUUCCAGGGUUAUUUAUGAAGAAGGUGUGGUCAGACAAAUGCUGGAGCAAGGGAAACUGUCCAGCUGAACAAGAUGUUCUCCUGGCACGGUGGGAAACCUGAUCCCUCUUUCAAGAGCCAGUGGAUAAGACCAACCUUCAACCUCUGCAGAACAUCAGUGGGGAGGACUUCCACAGGAGAGAUGCAUUUGCCUGCUUAGUGAGUCACUGAUGUUUUCCAUGUGUUGCAAUGUUGCCAUGAACCUGUAGUCGGUGUCUCUGCUUGUUCGACUGUGCUGCAAAAUUGGGAAACGGAAGUUGUCCGUAGCUCCUGUUACAUUAAACUGUUCGGACCACUUGGCUCUAUCGGUUUUGGCAAACUUACGUGGAGUCUUGCAAGGCCUAGGUGCACCCAUGCACAUCCAGAUCAGCAAACCAUCAGCUCUGAAGCAAUUGUUGGUGAUGACAUAUUUUGUGACAGGAAAUCAUUGCAAAAUUCUGGGUUCUCAGGAUUAAAAACUUCUGUCCUGCUCAGAAAAAUAAAUGUAACCGGUAUGUUCUAAA